CAAUGUGCGAAAGCAUGAUAAGGGAACUCCGAGUGCCAGCAUCUAAUGCUGGCUGUCCUUGUGCCUAAAACGCACAAGAUAGCAAGGGCCGGGUAAGACCGGUGCCAGCCGCCGCGGUAACACCGGCGCCCGAGUGGUAGCCGCUAUUAUUGGGUCUAAAGGGUCCGUAGCCGGUUCGAUAAGUCCUCUGGGAAAUCUGGUUGCUUAACAAUCAGACUGCCAAGGGAUACUGUCGAACUUGAGACCGGGAGAGGUAAGAGGUACUUCAGGGGUAGGAGUGAAAUCUUGUAAUCCCUGGGGGACCAUCUGUGGCGAAGGCGUCUUACCAGAACGGGUCUGACGGUGAGGGACGAAAGCUGGGGGCGCAAACCGGAUUAGAUACCCGGGUAGUCCCAGCCGUAAACGAUGCUCGCUAUGCGUCAGGUACGGUGUGACCGUAUCUGGUGCCGUAGGGAAGCCGUGAAGCGAGCCACCUGGGAAGUACGGUCGCAAGACUGAAACUUAAAGGAAUUGGCGGGGGAGCACUACAACGGGUGGAGCCUGCGGUUUAAUUGGAUUCAACGCCGGA
rnacentral:rRNA from 1 species